rnacentral:rRNA from 1 species
AACGCUAAUACCGCAUACGUCCUACGGGAGAAAGCAGGGGACCUUCGGGCCUUGCGCUAUCAGAUGAGCCUAGGUCGGAUUAGCUAGUUGGUGGGGUAAUGGCUCACCAAGGCGACGAUCCGUAACUGGUCUGAGAGGAUGAUCAGUCACACUGGAACUGAGACACGGUCCAGACUCCUACGGGAGGCAGCAGUGGGGAAUAUUGGACAAUGGGCGAAAGCCUGAUCCAGCCAUGCCGCGUGUGUGAAGAAGGUCUUCGGAUUGUAAAGCACUUUAAGUUGGGAGGAAGGGCAGUAAGUUAAUACCUUGCUGUUUUGACGUUACCGACAGAAUAAGCACCGGCUAACUCUGUGCCAGCAGCCGCGGUAAUACAGAGGGUGCAAGCGUUAAUCGGAAUUACUGGGCGUAAAGCGCGCGUAGGUGGUUUGUUAAGUUGGAUGUGAAAGCCCCGGGCUCAACCUGGGAACUGCAUCCAAAACUGGCAAGCUAGAGUACGGUAGAGGGUGGUGGAAUUUCCUGUGUAGCGGUGAAAUGCGUAGAUAUAGGAAGGAACACCAGUGGCGAAGGCGACCACCUGGACUGAUACUGACACUGAGGUGCGAAAGCGUGGGGAGC